rnacentral:lncRNA from 1 species
UUGCAGCUCCGCCGUCCCCAAAUCGGCGAGAUUGAAAAUUAGGGUUCUAACUUCUAACUAAGCAGAUCUGUAAAAAUCCCCGAAAAAAGUAAGAAAAGGAAAAAAGAAAUACAGGGUCGGCAACCCAAAUUUUCCCAAAUAAGUUAAUCAAUUAUUUAUUGCAAGGACCAGGUUCACGAAAAGAAAACAUUUAUUGCUUCGACACAGACUUCAAGAUUUAAAAAUAAAGUAAAAGUAAAAAAGCAAAAUAUUUCAAACCCAUUAACCAAAAUCUAGAUCUUCAACAACUUCAUCUUCAAUCCACCCAAACUGCAAAUACCCAUGAAUCUUUUGGUUCGCUUGAGCAAGGAGGCGUUUAAAAGUUUAAAAUUUUAUUUUUUUUUAUAAUAGAAAGAAAGGAGAGCAUAAACUUCAACAGAUCAGAGAAAAGAAAGCAACUUUAAAACAGAGACUGAGCUGAAAGAGAUUCACCUUAACAAGAUCGACGGUAGAACAGAGAUGAAGAAACGGGGAGGUCGAGGUAGAAGAAUACAGACAGAGUCUCUCUCUCCAUAUAUAUACGCAUAUCUAUAUCUAUCUAUAUAUGUUUAUAUAUAUACAUACACGUAUGUGUGUUUCUCUCUCUUCAUCGGUCUUCUCUCUCUCUCUCUCUACCCUAUCGUGCGGAAAAAAUUAAANGGGGAGGUCGAGGUAGAAGAAUACAGACAGAGUCUCUCUCUCCAUAUAUAUACGCAUAUCUAUAUCUAUCUAUAUAUGUUUAUAUAUAUACAUACACGUAUGUGUGUUUCUCUCUCUUCAUCGGUCUUCUCUCUCUCUCUCUACCCUAUCGUGCGGAAAAAAUUAAAAAUGAGACAUUAUUGCAGGAAUAGCGAAUUUUGUAGGGAUGGAGAACUUCGAGUGGGUGAUAAGUAGUUUUUCUUAUCACGCUAUAUUCUCUAUCUGGAUGAUAAGUUAUUUGGCUUAUGAUAUGUGGAUGGAAGUGGGUCCCAUGGAGCCGGCUAGCUUUGUCUUUUGGUCAUUGGGCUCGGAAUCUCCAGCUGAUAAAGGUAC